GAUGAACGCUGGCGGCGUGCCUAAUACAUGCAAGUCGAGCGAACGGACGAGAAGCUUGCUUCUCUGAUGUUAGCGGCGGACGGGUGAGUGACACGUGGAUAACCUACCUAUAUGACUGGGAUAACUUCGGGAAACCGGAGCUAAUACCGGAGAAUAUUUUGAACCGCAUGGUUCAAAAGUGAUAGACGGUCUUGCUGUCACUUAUAGAUGGAUCCGCGCUGCAUUAGCUAGUUGGUAAGGUAACGGCCUACCAAGGCAACGAUGCAUAGCCGACCUGAGAGGGUGAUCGGCCACACUGGAACUGAGACACGGUCCAGACUCCUACGGGAGGCAGCAGUAGGGAAUCUUCCGCAAUGGGCGCAAGCCUGACGCAGCCACGCCGCGUGAGUGAUGAAGGUCUUCGGAUCGUAAAACUCUGUUGUUAGGGAAGAACAUAUGUGUAAGUAACUGUGCACAUCUUGACGGUACCUAAUCAGAAAGCCACGGCUAACUACGUG
rnacentral:rRNA from 1 species